rnacentral:rRNA from 1 species
CCUACGGGAGGCUGCAGUGGGGAAUAUUGGGCAAUGGGCGCAAGCCUGACCCAGCAACGCCGCGUGAAGGAAGAAGGCCCUCGGGUUGUAAACUUCUUUUAUUCGGGACGAAACAAAUGACGGUACCGACUGAAUAAGCCACGGCUAACUACGUGCCAGCAGCCGCGGUAAUACGGAGGUGGCCAGCGUUAUCCGGAUUUACUGGGUGUAAAGGGCGUGUAGGCGGGAGAGCAAGUCAGACGUGAAAUUCCAGGGCUCAACCCUGGAACUGCGUUUGAAACUGUUCUUCUUGAGUGAUGGAGAGGCAGGCGGAAUUCCGUGUGUAGCGGUGAAAUGCGUAGAUAUACGGAGGAACACCAGUGGCGAAGGCGGCCUGCUGGACAUUAACUGACGCUGAGGCGCGAAAGCGUGGGGAGCAAACAGGAUUAGAUACCCGAGUAGUC